rnacentral:rRNA from 1 species
UACGUAGGGUGCAAGCGUUAAUCGGAAUUACUGGGCGUAAAGCGUGCGCAGGCGGUUUUGUAAGUCUGACGUGAAAGCCCCGGGGCUCAACCUGGGAAUUGCGUUGGAGACUGCAAGGCUUGAAUCUGGCAGAGGGGGGUAGAAUUCCACGUGUAGCAGUGAAAUGCGUAGAGAUGUGGAGGAACACCGAUGGCGAAGGCAGCCCCCUGGGUCAAGAUUGACGCUCAUGCACGAAAGCGUGGGGAGCAAACAGG